UACGAAGGGGGCUAGCGUUGCUCGGAAUGACUGGGCGUAAAGGGCGCGUAGGCGGAUGGCUUUGUCAGAUGUGAAAUUCCAGGGCUUAACCUUGGGGCUGCAUUUGAGACGGGUUGUCUAGAGUGGGGAAGAGGGUCGUGGAAUUCCCAGUGUAGAGGUGAAAUUCGUAGAUAUUGGGAAGAACACCGGUGGCGAAGGCGGCGACCUGGUCCUUUUACUGACGCUGAGGCGCGAAAGCGUGGGGA
rnacentral:rRNA from 1 species